UGCGUAGGCGGUCGGGUAAGUCUGACGUGAAAUCUCCAAGCCUAACUUGGAAACUGCGUUGGAUACUAUCCGGCUCGAGGAAUGGAGGGGAGACUGGAAUACUUGGUGUAGCAGUGAAAUGCGUAGAUAUCAAGUGGAACACAGUGGCGAAGGCGAGUCUCUGGACAUUUCCUGACGCUGAGGCACGAAAGCCAGGGGAGCAAACG
rnacentral:rRNA from 1 species